AACGCACCUUGCGCUCCUUGGUAUUCCGAGGAGCAUGCCUGUUUGAGUGUCAUUAAAUUCUCAACCUCACCAACUUUGUUGUGUGAAGGCUUGGAUGUGGGGGUUGCAGGUCCGCACUCGUGUGGUCUGCUCCUCUAAAACGUAUUAGUGGGUUAGUCCCCUAAUCUAUUGGUGUGAUAAUUAUCUACGCCGUGGAUUUGGAAGGCAAUCAUAGACCUGCUUCUAACCGUCCUCUGGACAACCUUGACAAUUUUGACCUCAAAUCAGGUAAGACUACCCGCUGAACUUAA
rnacentral:misc_RNA from 1 species